CUGACGGAUUUUAGAUCUGAUACAUGGUUUUCGAGAAAAAAGAAGUUUAUUGUAUUUACACAUACAUUUAGGUGUGGGUUUUAGAAGUUGGUGAGGGAAUGGCUUUUGUCGCAAGUCGACGACCAUUUCUAACGAAACAAAAUCGUUAGUUCGAUGUCUCGGCAGUGCUGAGCGCGCUAGAAUGAUCCGUGUAGAAAUCUGAUGGAUAGAUCGACGGAUAUCGUGUGAUUAUCGAGGGGAGGUCUAAAUGGCAUUUUUGUAUCUCGCGCGAAAA
rnacentral:lncRNA from 1 species